GGCAUUUAUCCCAGAGAAAUGAAGACUUACAUCCACACACAAACCUGUACAGGAAUGUUUACAGAAGCUUUAUUUCUAACAGCCAAAAGGAAACAACCCAGAUAUCCUUUACCAGUUUCUCGGUCCCAACUUGGACGCCACCGGACUGAACGUGGAUGCUGUACCCAGGUCUGUGACUUUAGAUGAAUUACUGACCUCAUCGCAGUCUCAAUUACCUCGUCUUAUGAAACAAAGGUAUAUUCUUAAGACCCGCUACACAAUUUGUGGGGCUCAAUACAAGGUAAAAAUGCACGGCCCCCUAUUCAAAAAUUAAGGAUUUCAAGAUGGCGACAGCAGAACAUUAAACCAAGCACAGUGCCUUUGUAAGGACAGGCCUCGUGUGAAGGCCCAGGUCUCAGACCCAUGAAGCUGGCCCUAUGUAUCAGUUAUGACUCCAGGCUCACAAAUGAGAGAAGUCAAGUCACACUCAUUCCUCAGAAAGAUAACUUAACAGAUGGUUACCGUGGUGUCGUGGAAACCAAAGGAGAGUUGAACAAAUGAGGGGUCAUCCCCCAGCCUGGUGGAAAAGCAGAGCCCAGGCACCUCCUGAGUUUUCUGUGCCAUAGCUUCAGCCACCAGAGAGACUCGCUGACUUGCUCUCGUGGUCUCCUGGAUUAAGUGAGGUGCCCACUGUAGACCAAUCAACCCUGAAUGGGGGCCCAGGUAAAUUUCAGAGUAGAAAUUUACCAGAGUAGAGGUCCAGCAGAUAAUCCCACAGCUGCCCUUGGUGUUAUGUAAGAACAAAGAUAGCAGAUUUCACCUCACUGCUGCCGCAGGUCUAUUGGUUACCAGCUGCCUAGACAGCGGGGUAGACAAGAUGCCUGGGGCCACACUGGACUGUCUCGAAGGCAAGCCAUCAUGCUGUCUCCCAUGAGGAGGGUCGGCCCAGGUGCACGCACGUGCCAACUGUGGACAAGAUUCUGUGAGCUCAAAGUUUUCUUACAGCCGUCACAUUCUAGAGUAUUUCCUCUCUGCUCCUGCUCAUCCCCAAAAUCAACUUUCAGGAAGCCUUCAUGUGUAGGGAUAAUUUAUUUCAUUCAAUAGAUGUCGGUGAAAUGUGAUUAAAUCUUUUAAAAUUAAAUGGAUGUAUUUGGAAUACACGAGAGAAAUGCUCUAGCUUAAGCAAUUCUGAAGUGAAUCCUUUGGUAAAGCAGACUCUUAUUUAAAUUGAAUAGCCACUUAGCUCCUUAGCAAAUCUGAAUUUUUAUGUAGAGUGCUUUGCUUAAGAUAGAGAGACUGAGGAUCUGGCUUGGAAAGACAACCACUGAGAAGGUGAUGGGUCUGCAGCUUGCAGAAAAAGGUAUAACAGCCCUCAGUCUAUCCCACUCCCACCUAGAUGUCAGUGGAGAAUUUUCCUUCAUCUGGACCCUUUGGGUGGCUUGUCCCCUUUAAGGAUGCCUGAGUGUUUAUUCUAGCAUGAGUCCACUUGUAGGGUAGGGGUUUUUGUUGUUAUUUUUUUGGUAGGAUUGUUACGGAAACUGGUCUGGAUCACCCGGCAGAAGAACCAAGCGGCACUCGGAGAUCUUGGAAGGCAGGAGGUUUAUUUUACACUGGCAGGCUCAGAGGAGAUCAUUCUCCGGAGGUCUGAGCCCAGAGCAUCAACAGAGGGGACAAUUUAUAGUCUGUUACUUCUGCAUCCCUCAAGAGUAGUAAUUUGGCGCCUGAAGCAAGCAGGGUGGGAAGAACCGAAAGGGAGGUCUUCAGGCAGGGACUGAAAUUCCCUUAGCAGUCCCGUCUGCCAUCAUAUAACAGAUUUUUCCCUAACAGGACGAGGAGGGGACAAAUCAGAGUGACAGAGCUUUAGACCAGUGCUGUCCACUGUGGUAGCCACCAGCCACCUGUAGCUGUUGAGCACUCGAGACGAGGCAGGACUGAACCAGACUGAAUCAGGAUGGUCUGUAUGUGUAUACCCACUGGAUUUUGAAGACACCAUAUGAAAAAAGAACGUAAAAUAUCUCAAUAAUUUUAUUAUUUAGUGAUUACAUGUUGAAAUGAUCACUUCUUCAUAUAGCAGGGCAAAUAAAUCGUAUUCUACUUUUUUUAAGUUUUAUUUAUUUAUUUUGGGGAAGGAGGGACACAGAGAGACGGAAGGAGAGAGAAGCCCAAGCAGGCUCUGCCCUGGCAGCGCGGAGCCCAACUUGGGGCUCGAGCUCACCAGCCGUGAGAUCAUGACCUGAGCCAAAAACAAGAGUUGGACGCUUAACCAACCGAGUCACCCAGGGACCUCAAUAAAACGUAUUAUUGAUUUAA